GUGGGGAAUUUUGGACAAUGGGGGCAACCCUGAUCCAGCAAUGCCGCGUGCAGGAAGAAGGCCUUCGGGUUGUAAACUGCUUUUGUACGGAACGAAACGGUCUGGGUUAAUACCCUGGGCUAAUGACGGUACCGUAAGAAUAAGCACCGGCUAACUACGUGCCAGCAGCCGCGGUAAUACGUAGGGUGCGAGCGUUAAUCGGAAUUACUGGGCGUAAAGCGUGCGCAGGCGGUUUUGUAAGACAGGCGUGAAAUCCCCGGGCUCAACCUGGGAAUGGCGCUUGUGACUGCAAAGCUGGAGUGCGGCAGAGGGGGAUGGAAUUCCGCGUGUAGCAGUGAAAUGCGUAGAUAUGCGGAGGAACACCGAUGGCGAAGGCAAUCCCCUGGGCCUGCACUGACGCUCAUGCACGAAAGCGUGGGGAGCAAACAGGAUUAGAUACCCUAGUAGUCC
rnacentral:rRNA from 1 species